ACGCUCGACACCUACGGGGGGCAGCAGUGGGGAAUAUUGGGCAAUGGGCGAAAGCCUGACCCAGCAACGCCGCGUGAGGGAAGAAGGUUUUCGGAUUGUAAACCUCUGUCCUCAGGGACGAAGGACGUGACGGUACCUGAGGAGGAAGCCCCGGCUAACUACGUGCCAGCAGCAGCGGUAAUCUGAGCGGGCUGGCAAGGC
rnacentral:rRNA from 1 species